rnacentral:misc_RNA from 1 species
GAUGAAGAACGCAGCGAAAUGCGAUAAGUAAUGUGAAUUGCAGAAUUCAGUGAAUCAUCGAAUCUUUGAACGCACAUUGCGCCCGCCAGUAUUCUGGCGGGCAUGCCUGUUCGAGCGUCAUUUCAACCAUCAAGCCCCCGGGCUUGCGUUGGGGCUCUGCGGCUGCCGCAGACCCCUAAAACCAGUGGCGGGCUCGUCGUCGUACCGAGUGCAGUAAACAUCCUCGCUCAGGGAACGUGACGGGUUCUUGCCGUGAAACCCCCCACAUAUCAAGGUUGACCUCGGAUCAGGUAGGAAUACCCGCUGAACUUAAGCAUAUCAAUAAGCGGAGGA